rnacentral:rRNA from 1 species
GAUGAACGCUGGCGGCGUGCCUAAUACAUGCAAGUCGAGCGAACAGACGAGGAGCUUGCUCCUCUGACGUUAGCGGCGGACGGGUGAGUAACACGUGGAUAACCUACCUAUAUGACUGGGAUAACUUCGGGAAACCGGAGCUAAUACCGGAUAAUAUAUUGAACCGCAUGGUUCAAUAGUGAAGGACGGUUUUGCUGUCACUUAUAGAUGGAUCCGCGCCGCAUUAGCUAGUUGGUAAGGUAACGGCUUACCAAGGCAACGAUGCGUAGCCGACCUGAGAGGGUGAUCGGCCACACUGGAACUGAGACACGGUCCAGACUCCUACGGGAGGCAGCAGUAGGGAAUCUUCCGCAAUGGGCGAAAGCCUGACGGAGCAACGCCGCGUGAGUGAUGAAGGUCUUCGGAUCGUAAAACUCUGUUAUUAGGGAAGAACAAAUGUGUAAGUAACUAUGCACGUCUUGACGGUACCUAAUCAGAAAGCCACGGCUAACUACGUG